AGCCCCUCGGCACAACUGGACCCGCUGGCGCUGCCCUGAUUGAACGAGAGCGGGUCACAUGGAGAAGGUGGGCCAAUGGGAAAGGAGAGGUGCCCUGGGGGCGGGCAGAGAAGGGCUGGCUGGCGCCAUCUUUGAUCCGGGCAAGUAGGAGCGCCCUAGAAGCAAGUGCCGGGGGCGCCAUCUUUGUUAGUCCCCCUGCCAGCCCCCGGCGCCGCGCCAGCCGUUAGGCGGGACCCGAGAGCCGCACCGAGGAGACUCCGCCCCGCGGCGGCGAAGGCAGAGCGAGGUUGCGCCCCCUGCAGGCUAAAGCCGGGGGAAUGCCUGGGCUCCGGCGCCAAACCACGGGACGUUGUAGCCGCCCGGCCCGCAGCAGUUGCUUGGUUUGCUGAUCCCGAGCGUCAGGCGACACCGGAGGCCGGUCCCAUUUCAGCUAGAGGGGGGGCCCCGCGCGCUCCCCCCAGCACACGGGUCUUCUACCCGCCCGAAACACAGGGACGCUUUGGAAUGAAGAGUUCAUCGCAAAGUCAAUGCUCAUGCUAAUGGGCCCAAUCGUGAUGAAGGAAAAGAAUGAUAUGGACGGAAACCAGUGGAAUAUGGCAUCCCUGCACGCGCAAAGACAGUUCAGUGUUGCUGCUGCUGCUGCUGCUGACAUCUUUCACAAGCUGUAGAAAAAGACAACUGUAACAAGACUUUCAGAUGUUGUACUGCUGCACUUUAGCACCCCCAGGGUAAAAUCAGGUCAAUUUCAUUCUGCUGAUGCUUAGUACAUCUAUGAACAAAUACCAGAGGGAGGUAUUGGGCUAAUAUGAAGUUGGAAAAAGGGGGCAGAAAAUCCAAGUCUGGUAUGGGGCAGAUUGGCAGAGACCUAAUUCCCCUGAAGUAUCUAGAAGAGUAGAAAGGAAAAGUGUAGUGUGGAUCCUACCCCCUAUCCUAGGGAGACUCUGAGUUGGAGAAUUCCAAGAAAGACCUCUCCCACAACAGUGAGAAAAGUGGAGGGAAGCUUCAAGUUUUAUAAAAAACAACUAGCUAUUUUCCAUAUAAACUUCUGGAGCCCCUGAGAAGCUAGGAAGCUUGGCACUUCUCAGCAGCUGAGGCAGAGAGAGGCACACUCCGUUCUUCUCAUCAGCACACUGUCCUUGGACCAUGCUUGCUGGUAACUACUUAUCACUGAAUCUGGCUGCUUACAAGAAGAUUAGGUCCUUUGGCUAGUAGGUAGGUGUCUGUUAAGUUUUUCAAAUUCUGGUGUAGGACCUAAUCCUGCAAGAUGCUGUUUAGCACUUUUAGUACUUAACUGAAUUUCCCUCCAAAAAUAUUUGCAUAUUUCCAUCAACGCCAGCCGAGAUGUGUGAAGUCUUUAGUAGUGUUUAUAUUGUUACGUAACUAGUGUAAAUACAAAUAAUUCAGAAUGCAAAACUGACAUGAAGUGCUAUGAAUCUGACUCAAUAAAAAGUAUGGCAAAGUUCAUAGUGUGAGAUUGGCGCUUUUGAUGUUUAUAAAAGCCAAAAUCACAAAUACUGAGACUUGAAUUAUUGAGACACAUGCUACUUACUGAGGAAAAUGUACUGUUAGUUCCUAAAGAACUCAAUUCUACAGACCCUUUUGCUUGUUAAUACAAGUUGAACCUCUCUCAGUCUGGCACUCUCUGGUCAGGCAACAUCUGUGAUCCAGUGUGAUUUUAGUUAGCCAGAUGUCCACUUAACAAGGACGUGGCCAAGUUUCCUGCAGUCCCAUAAAAUUUGUUUAUAGCCACCAAUUCUGGCUCUCAGUUUCUGUGCUAUUAUUUAGCUCAAAUUUACCUCUAACUGUCUUCCACUGUUUACUAGGCUUUUAAAAGUGUUGUUAAUGCUGCUAGAAAUAUUGACCUCCCAUGGUUCAGCACCAGUCAGGUCCUGAAGAUGCCAGAUUAGAGAGGUUCAACCAGUCUUGUCAAAAUUGGGCCUCUAUUUCAGGAAUAAGGAUCAAAACUGCAUAGAAAAGAAUGACUAAACUAGUUUAAUCUCGAACAUCAAAUAGAGACAAAAAUAAAUAAGGAAAAAGAUGUAACAGACGUAAAAAGUAUCACUAAUAGAUUAACUGAAGGUUUUUAUUCCAUAGAUAUAUACUAGAAGAUUUACCUGGAAUUGCUUGGGUCCUUCAGGGCUGGGAGCUGUGAGGGAUGCAGGACUCAGGGCAUAGGACUGGAGGUGUGUGUGGGAGGUGAAGGCAUCAGGGCAGGAGGCUGGGAGUUGUGUGUGUGUGUGGGGGGGGGGGACCCUCAGGACAGGAUUAGGGGUAAUGGGGUCAGUGCAGGGGGUGUGGAGCUCAGGGUGGGAGUACAGGAGUCAGGGCAGGAGAUGGGAGGUCGGGUCCAGGACUGGGCUGCCUGGCAGCUCAUCCGGGGAGGCUGUGGACUGGUGGAGCUCCUCCUAUCUGGCAAUGUGGAUGAUGGGAAUUGGUUUGGGGGCAGGCAGGGUACUUACUUGGGUCGGUGUCCAGAAAUAUGGAGAGCCCUAGCUGGCCACACUCUUCCAGGUGCGGCCACCCCCAUGUGGUCACUCUGCAGCAUAACUGUCCCCCAUACUUGCUGCACCCAGUGGUCACUGCAAAGCAUAACUGACCCACCUAUCAAACCCCUCCAUUCCAUGUUAUGGAAAACUGAAUUCCACGCACAGCCCAAUUUUCUGGCACAACCAAACUCUGACCUUGCUUUACAUUAGGAUAAGAGGAAGCUGUAUUCCAAAUUUGGUGGUCCUAGCUCUUACUGUUUAGCGGUUCUUGAACAACUAGAUUCACAGAGACAAACAGACAGACAGAUGCAUACUUUCUAAAAUAUAUACAUCUCCACAAAAGAGAAUGAUUCUAACAGUGCAA